GGCCGACUAGCUCAGUUGGUUAGAGCGUCGUGCUAAUAUAAGUGACGCGAAGGUCUUGGGUUCGAUCCCCACGUUGGCCA